CACUGAAGAGUAAAGCCCAGAACAGAAGAAGAGCUAGCACACCUUCGAUCUAUAGCAGAAACACUUCUAAACUCACGUGCUGAAAAUCCACUAAAUUCUAGGACGGAAUGAAGAGUUUACACUUACUCAUAAUUUGAAAUUCUCCACAUUUGAUGUGAAUAAAAAUCCCAGGAUAACAUUAUGAAGACUCCCUUAGAACUUAAAGUCAUUUGCGACAGCCUAGUGUCAGUAUGAUUGCCUUGCUAAGCAAACUUGGGAAGUCUCAGUUCAAGCCCCAGGACAGCCCACUUCUUGAAGCUACACCAAGUCACUGGCUGCAGCAGCUCACCUGGAAGUCAGUUAUCUCUAUCUGGCUGUCCAAGAACAUCCUCUCAGUGACUAACCACUUUGGUGGCAGAAACUUUUCAUCUGAACUUUCUUAAAGGGCUCGUUGUUUGUUUAAAGAUCACAAUGAGAGGAGACCUUCAAGAUGGCGGAGGAGUAAGACGCGGAGAUCACCUUCCUCCCCACAAAUACAUCAGAAAUACAUCUACAUGUGGAACAGCUCCUACAGAACACCUCGUGAAUGCUGGCCGAAGACCUCAGACUUCCCAAAAGGCAAGAAACUCCCCCAUGUACCUGGGUUGGGCAAAAGAAAAAACAGAGACAAAAGAAUAGGGACGGGGCCUGCACCUCUAGGAGGGAACGUGAAGGAGGAAAAGCUUCCACACACUGGGUACCCCUUCACUGACAGAGACGGGGGGGCGGGGGGGAGCUUCGGAGCCACGGAGGGGAGCGCAGCAGCAGGGGUGCAGAGGGCAAAGCGGAGAGAUUCCCGCACAGAGGACCGCUGCCGACCGGCACUCACCAGCCCGAGAGGCUUGUCUGCUCACCCGCCGGGGCGGGCGGGGCUGGGAGCUGAGGCUCGGGUUUUGGAGGUCGGAUCCCAGGGAGAGGACUGGGGUUGGCGGCGUGAACACAGCCUGAAGGGGUUAGUGCUCCACGGCUAUACGGGAGGGAGUCCGGGAAAAAACCUGGAGCUGCCGAAGAGGCGAGAGGGUUUUUUUUCCCUCUUUGUUUCCUGGUGCGCGAGGAGAGGGGAUUCAGAGCGCCUCUUAAAGGAGCUCUAGAGACGGGCGCGAGCCGCGGCUAAAAGCGCGGACCCCAGAGACGGGCAUGAGACGCAAAGG